AAAAAAAAAAUGUCACUGAGAGAUAUCAAGAGGAGCAAUAAUUGAAUUGAGUGGAGAAGAACAGUUGCAGCUUUUUCAUUUUGCUUUAUCCUUUUCUCUAGUUUUGAUAGUAUUUCUUACACUUUCCGCCUCUCCGAUCCAUGGUUAUAUGUAAAGCCUUCUAUCGGUGAAGGAAGAGAUAGAGAUAAAGAGAAAAGAGACAUGGGUUCUUCACAGCUAAGUCAAGCAUUCAUUGUGCUUCUGCUUCUUUGCGUCAUACCUUGCCUUGCCGAAGCUGCUAUACCGUCUCAUCAACAACCACUUUCAGUCAUCGGGAGAAGGUUGAUGGGUACAGGGAUAGUUACAGGACCAUCAACAAGUCGACCUGGUGGUGGUGGUAGAACUCCAUCCCCCUAGUUCUACAUCUAAACCAGUGGACAUGUGGUGAAGUGCUGGUGCACAUUGUUUAUAUAUGGGUCUCUUUAUAUAUUUAUGUAAUGUGUUGUUUCUGAGCUCACAAGUCAAGCUUUUAAUUUAUUUCGAUUUUAUGUAUAUUGUAUGUGAGUUGAUAAAAAAAA